rnacentral:rRNA from 1 species
AACGAACGCUGGCGGCAUGCCUAACACAUGCAAGUCGAACGAGACCUCCGGGUCUAGUGGCGCACGGGUGCGUAACGCGUGGGAACCUGCCCUUAGGUUCGGAAUAACUCCUCGAAAGGGGUGCUAAUACCGGAUAAUGUCUUCGGACCAAAGAUUUAUCGCCUUUGGAUGGGCCCGCGUUGGAUUAGCUAGUUGGUAGGGUAAAAGCCUACCAAGGCGACGAUCCAUAGCUGGUCUGAGAGGAUGAUCAGCCACACUGGGACUGGGACACGGCCCAGACUCCUACGGGAGGCAGCAGUGGGGAAUAUUGGACAAUGGGCUGAAGCCUGAUCCAGCAAGGCCGCGUGAGUGAUGAUGGCCUUAGGGUUGUAAAGCUCUUUUAUCCGGGAUGAUAAUGACGGUACCGGGAGAAUAAGCUCCGGCUAACUUCGUG